GUAGUAUUCCCUCCGUCCCAAAAUUCUUGUCUUACAUUUGUUUAGAUACAGAUGUAUCUAACACUAAAAUGUAACUAGAUACAUCCGUAUUUAGACAAAUUUAAGACAAGAAUUUUGGAACGAAGGGAGUACAAA
rnacentral:pre_miRNA from 1 species